GUGAUGAGGUGGCUUGUCUCCCUUGCCCUUAGGAGGCUGAUCAACUGGCUUGGGCUCUGGCUUGGGCUCUGGGAAUGGCUUGUGCUCAUCAAGUGGGGUUGGUGGCUUGGGUUUUGUGGGUGGCUUCGGCUUCUUUCCCUGAGGAGGCAAUUUCCCAUCCAAUGGCUCCUCUAGCAAACGAGUUCUGGUUUCUUGUUUGUGAUGAGGCGGUUUCUCACCCUUUGGAGGCUGAUCAACUGGCUUUGGUUCUGGCUUGGGCUCUGGCUUGGGCUCUGGGAAUGGCUUGUGCUCAUCAAGUGGGGUUGGUGGCUUGGGUUUUGUGGGUGGCUCCGGCUUCUUUCCCUGAGGAGGCAAUUUCCCAUCCAAUGGCUCCUCUAGCAAACGAGUUCUGGUUUCUUGUAUGUGAUGAGGCGGCUUCUCACCCUUUGGAGGCUGAUCAACUGGCUUUGGUUCUGGCUUGGGCUCGGGCUUGGGCUCUGGCUUGGGCUCUGGGAAUGGCUUGUGCUCAUCAAGUGGGGUUGGUGGCUUGGGUUUUGUGGGUGGCUUCGGCUUCUUUCCCUGAGGAGGCAAUUUCCCAUCCAAUGGCUCCUCUAGCAAACGAGUUCUGGUUUCUUGUUUGUGAUGAGGCGGCUUCUCACCCUUUGGAGGCUCGUCGUUGCCCGGGUUUCCUUUGUGCUCUGGUGGUGGCUUCUCUCCUUUUCUUGGUGGCUCAUCUCUUGGGUGUCCUGGUUCAUGCUCAGGUGGUGGUUUCUCUCCUUUUCUCGGUGGCUCAUCUCCCGGGUGCUCAGGUGGUGGCUUCUCAUCCUUGUGAGGCUCAUCACCUGGUUUCUCCUUUGGUGGUGGCUUUUGUCCCUUAGGAGGCUCAUUGUUCUCUGGUGGAGGCUUUUUUCCCUUUGGAGGCUCAUUGUUCUCUGGUGGAGGCUUCUUUCCCUUUGGAGGCUGGUCAUUGCGCUCUGGUGGUGGCUUUUGUACCUGGGGAGGCUGGUCAUUGCGCUCUGGAGGUGGCUUUUCUCCCUUGGGAAAUUGGCCCUCCACCUCUAACAAAUGGUGUUCGUUGUGGGGUGGCUUGUCAACUGGUGGAGGCUUGUAAAUUGGGGGUACGGAAAUUGGAGGCUUGUAGAUUUGUGGCUUUGGGUCAUGGUUAUCAGCAAGAGAAGGAGUU
rnacentral:lncRNA from 1 species